rnacentral:pre_miRNA from 1 species
AACAUACUCCCUCCGUUCGGAAUUACUUGUCGCAGAAAUGGAUGUAUCUAGACGUAUUUUAGUUCUAGAUACAUCCAUUUCCGAGACAAGUAAUUCCGAACGGAAGGAGUAUAUA